rnacentral:rRNA from 1 species
UACGUAGGGCGCAAGCGUUGUCCGGAAUUGUUGGGCGUAAAGAGCUCGUAGGCGGCUUGUCACGUCGGGUGUGAAAGCCCGGGGCUUAACCCCGGGUCUGCAUUCGAUACGGGCUAGCUAGAGUGUGGUAGGGGAGAUCGGAAUUCCUGGUGUAGCGGUGAAAUGCGCGGAUAUCAGGAGGAACACCGGUGGCGAAGGCGGAUCUCUGGGCCAUUACUGACGCUGAGGAGCGAAAGCGUGGGGAGCGAACAGG